CGGUCGCCGCGGGAAUACGUAGGUGGCAAGCGUUGUCCGGAAUUAUUGGGCGUAAAGCGCGCGCAGGCGGAUCGGUCAGUCUGUCUUAAAAGUUCGGGGCUUAACCCCGUGAUGGGAUGGAAACUGCCAAUCUAGAGUAUCGGAGAGGAAAGCGGAAUUCCUAGUGUAGCGGUGAAAUGCGUAGAUAUUAGGAAGAACACCAGUGGCGAAGGCGGCCUUCUGGACGAAAACUGACGCUGAGGCGCGAAAGCCAGGGGAGCGAACGGGAUUAGAUACCCGUGUAGUCCCUGUCUCUUAUACC
rnacentral:rRNA from 1 species